AUUGAUAGCUGGGGGCAGGACUAACACAUGCAAGUCGAGCGAGCGGCGGACGGGUGAGUAAUGUAUGGGGAUCUGCCUGAUGGCGGGGGAUAACUACUGGAAAUGGUAGAUAAUACCGCAUACAAUCAGAUGUAACCAUAUGGGAUUAGCUAGUAGGUAAGGUAAUGGGUUACCUAGGCGACGAUCACUAGCUGGGCUGAGAGGAUGAUCAGCAAAACUGGGACGGUGCUACGGCCCAGACUCCUACGGGAGGCAGCAGUGGGUAAUAUUGCACAAUGGGCGCAAGCCUGAUGCAGCCAUGCCGCGUGUAUGAAGAAGGCCUUCGGGUUGCAAAGUACUUUCAGUCGGGAGUCGUUAUCUGCAGAAGAAGCACCGGCUAACUCCGUGCCAGCAGCCGCGGUAAUUC
rnacentral:rRNA from 1 species